UUAGUCUUGUCUGCAGACAAGAUGGCGGCGGACUGUCAGAUGUGAUCAUUUAUAAGUUAAUCAUUUUCUGCCUAUAUUUAUGUUAAGAAUCUCCAGCUGAGAUGGGUUUAACGCAGAGUUCGGAUGUCUCCGAAGGCGGGACGUAUGGAUAUCAUGUCCAUGGGGUGCAACCAAAUUCGCCUGCAGAAAAAUGUGGACUGCAACCCUUCUUUGACUUCAUUCUGUCGCUAGACCACAAACGACUUAAUGAGGAAAACGAUCAGCUGAAGGAGCUCCUGAAAGCCAACAUGGAGAAAGCGGUGUGCAUGGAGGUGUACAGCACCAAGAGCAUGAAGGUUCGGGAGGUGGAGGUGGUGCCCAGCAAUAUGUGGGGAGGACAAGGCUUGCUGGGUGCGAGUGUUCGUUUCUGCAGCUACCAAGGAGCCAAUGAGAAUGUCUGGCACGUGCUGGAUGUGGAAGCGAGCUCACCCGCUGCCCUUGCGGGCCUCCGUGCCCACACCGACUACAUUGUUGGAGCGGAUCAGGUGCUGCAAGAUUCCGAAGACUUCUUCUCGCUGAUUGAAACCCAUGAAGGGAAGCAACUGAAACUGAUGGUGUACAACACACUAAUGGACGCCUGCAGGGAGGUGGCAGUCACCCCGAAUGGAGCUUGGGGAGGCGAGGGCAGUUUAGGUUGCGGCAUUGGGUAUGGAUACCUGCACCGAGUCCCUGCACCUUCUGAUGUGUCCGUGGCAACUCCCCCGGCCGUCGUCCCGCCUCCUCCUGAGGAAAAACCACCCCCAGAGCUGCCUAACCAUGGAUUCACCGAGGCACCCUUGGUGGCGCCAUCAAACCAAAGCGAGGAUGUCUUAGACUUAAGGCGGAUCACCCUGCAGGACGCUUCACCGCCUCCACCUAUCCACAGUGUCACAGAUUCUGGCUUGUCUGACUCUGAAGCAGCCUUGACCAGCCCAGAUCCCGCCGAUCUGUCGGACAGGCUGGAUGCAUCCGUGUCGUCGAUUGACAUGAACGACACCUCCCUCGCGAUAAACGACGAGCGAGACAACGAGAUCUCUGGUAUCGAGGAGCUUGACGGAUCCGAGCUGCAACCUUCCAAACAGACUGAUCCCCAAGAUCCGAUCCCCUCGGCCCCCAUGGAUCUCACCUCCACGAUGAGCCAGCUAUCCGAUCCAGGUCACCUCCAUUCUGACUCUCUCUGCGAGUCCAGUUCUAGCCCGAGUCCACCUCUAGGUGCACCGUGUCCCUUUACAGACCCACCGGAGCCCUCCAGUCAAGAACCUCCCCCUUGUUCACAUGCUACUGAUGAUCUUCCAGGUGAGCCACAGGUCGAUGAUUCGCCCUGUCAGGGAUUUGAGGAUUCUCAUCCCAAAGAUGAGACUCCCGCUCAUUGCUGUGAGCAUGAGGACAAUGACGACGAACCGCACGAGUCGGAAUAAGACCGCAUCAGGCCACCACGUGGACAGGGUGAAGGAUCGAAACUGAACCAGCUUCAAGUCGAAGGCCCCGCCUCCACCCACCUGAGAUUGUAUGACUGCCAAAUAAGAUCACUCCAUUCAUAUCGUCGCUGUAUGGAACAAAUGCAUAAAGAUGCUCACAAAUUAACUUCUUCAUUAUUGUAACAAUAGAAAUAUUGUCGCAUUUUAAUAUCACAAGAUCUUGUGACACCCCUAAUAAUUUCCAGAAAUGUGUCAUUGUUAAACCAUUCCAAUUUAUUUCUCCGGAAGCCUAAAAUGUACAUAUUUCACAUAUUAUUACAACAGUGGAUUUUACAGUUUUGCGAUUUUGUGAUAAUUGGGAUACCCAUCUUUUUUUUUUUUUUUUGGGCCAACCGUAGCUCACUUGGCUUAUUCACCAUCACUUGUACAAUAAAAAUAUGUCCUGCUUGGUGACACACCAAGACAGAAACAUAUAUAUAUAUAUAAAUAUAUUACUAUUCACGUUUUAUUAUGCUUCUAUGUAAAUGAAAUAUACAUUAGGAACAUCCCUCACUUUGAUAACAUUACUAAUAAUGACCCAAGCAUAAAGCGAGAUUUAUAUAUAUAUAUAUAUUUUUUUAUAAUUUCAAAUUGCUAAGAUGAUUUAAACAACUACACACAUUCUUAAGAGUAAAACUGCAAAUUCAAGGUUGUAGUGAAUACAACAAAUGCCAUUUGUGUCAUCCAUGUCAAGUUGCGUCAUCCAUGAAUGUGCCUCGAAGGAAAAAUUGGAAAAAUAACUGUUUGGUAUUAUUAACUGUACAACAAAACAAAUGCAACCCCCCACCCCCCCCAAAAAAGUCACUUAAAUCAAAAAAAAUGUUGUACAUAUAUUUACAAGAAAACAGAACAUUCAGUUGACUUUAACAGCACAGCUAGAAAGACAAAGAACAAGUGACGUGAUGGCGUUCAGGCUUUGUCCUAAGAAGAAGUUAGGAGGGUGGGGGUGUUGAAGUGAGGAUGGGGCGAGUGGGGGGGGGUCGUCCUUGACAAGAGAUAGGAGUGUUUUUGUAGAAGAAGAGCAGGUCUGGAAUGUACGAGAACAUUCUGCACACGCACUCACACAAACGUGUACAGCAACUUGAUGAGAACCAAAAUAGCAGUCAGAUGUGUAAAAAAAAAAAAAUUAAUUAGAGUUAAUUCUUCAAACUGUUAGGGAAGGAGAAAGGGGGAAGAAAAAAAAUCCAUCUGACACGUCCUUGAAAAUAUCUUAGUGGAUUCUUGUUGACACUACAAGCAUUGACCUUGAAUGGAGGUCAGGGUUCUACAUGUCAGAAGGGGUUGGCGAUUGGCAAAUGAUUGACAAGAGUUCUUGCUUUCCCAAAAAAAAAAACAAAAAAAAAAAUAUCUGAACUUUCACGUCGACUUCUGCCUAUAGUGAAGCGUCAAGUCGCCACCGCUCUUCCAGAUAAAAUGUUUAACUGUUCGCAGGUCCAUGUUGGGAUCCAGAACCUAGUGGUGACAUGACAGGAAGAUAGGGUUCUUAGCACGAAGCGGAGGAGAGAGAGAGAGAGAGAGAGAGAGAGAGAGAGGAGACGCCGUACCUGGUCUUGACACAUGAGCUCUAUCUUCUCCUCGGCUAGCAUAGCCAUGUCCUCCUCCUUUUCCUGCUCUCCAGGCUUAUCGUUGGCGGAGGAACUGGUGGUCUGAGACUCGUUGUCCAGGUUGAUGAUCUUCUCGUACACGUGCUCCAUCACCUUUCUCACCUGGAGCAUGUCGCUAGCUGAAAGACGGUCCCUGUGGAACACAAAAAAAAAGUAAGCUCAAUGUAGAAAAAAAAAAAGAUUCUUUAUGCAAAGAACUUUUGGGGUAAAACUCACUUUUUCAGCGUUUUUGCACCAGAGGAUGAAUGAGGCUGGAGGUAGAAUGGGAUUUUGUUGAACUUGGGCAUAUUUUUCUAGCCAAAAAGAAGGGAAGGUGAUAAACGUGUAAGUAAAAUCCUGUAAAUUCACGCACAUGUACUGUAAAUCACCACAAAUUACAAUGAAAAGGCAUCAAAAUCACAUUUAAUUUGCUAUCCUGAGGCAAGAACCGAUUAUCUUUGGUACUCAAUUGUGUUGCCUGCUACAGUAAACCUCGGAUAUAUCGGACUCGGAUAUAUUGGAAAUUCGCUCACAACGGACAGAUAAAAAAGAACCGAUUUUUCUAUAAUGCAUUUCCAAUAAAAAUUCAUUGCAUAUAUUGGAUUUUUUUUUAUAACAGAUUUCGCCUAUUUCGGACAAAAUCUCCAGUCCCGUUCCAAUGCAUUUCCAUAAAAUUUCCCUCGCAUAUAUCGGAUGGCCGCAUCGUGGCGCUCCGAAGCUAGCUGACAUUCUGAGACGUUUUAAAGCAGAGGACAUUUUUAAUGCCGACGAAACUGGGUUAUUCUGGCAAAUGCUGCCAGAAAACACCCUGGGAUUUAUUGAAUGAGAUCUUAACCUCACUAUUGGAAAUAACGUAGGCCUGACGGGCGUAACAGGGCCUAGCUUAAUUAACAAUUUGUUAUGCGCAGAGUCCAAUAAAGUUAAAUUCUCAUUACCUUACGUCUCUUUUCAUUGCCCAGUCCAGGUACAUUGGAAACAGUCAAGGAAGUGCCUUUUUAUAACUGAUUAAAUCCGAUUUACGCAUAUACCGGAUAUAAAUCCGAUAUAUGCGUAAAACGGACAUUUUCCGGUAUACGCAUAUAACGGAUUUCGCUUAUAUCGGACAAAACCAGUGGGAACAAUUGAAUCCGAUAUAUCCGAGGUUUACUGUAUUUAGACAAGAAUGGCUGCGUGUUGGCUUAUUUUUUUUAGAGGCCGUACAAGCUGUACACAUACUACUCUAAAGU